rnacentral:lncRNA from 1 species
GCUUUUUCAAACAAAUAUCCCUGCCUUCAAUGUAUCGAUACAUUAAUGGCAUGGGUCGAUACAUCACACGAAUCAAUCGACUCCCCCAUGCUUGGAGUCGACUCCUACCAAAGUUUUUUUAUACACAAUAUUCUUUACCCUUGAUGUAUUGACUCCUUAUGGCUAUGUAUCGCCACCUUAUCCUUAUGUAUUGAUUCAUUUGAAUUUGAAGUCAAUACAUUCAGUUCGUUUUACAAAACUUGUAAUUUUCACUAAAAAUAUGUUUUGUUUGUUAUUCUUUCUACACACAAACACAUAAAUAUGCAUUCA